rnacentral:rRNA from 1 species
CCUUGUCUUUUGCGUACUUCUUGUUCCUUGGUGGGUUCGCCCACACUAGGACAAACAUAAACCUUUUGUAAUUGCAAUCAGCGUCAGUAACAAAUUAAUAAUUACAACUUUCAACAACGGAUCUCUUGGUUCUGGCAUCGAUGAAGAACGCAGCGAAAUGCGAUAAGUAGUGUGAAUUGCAGAAUUCAGUGAAUCAUCGAAUCUUUGAACGCACAUUGCGCCCUUUGGUAUUCCAAAGGGCAUGCCUGUUCGAGCGUCAUUUGUACCCUCAAGCUUUGCUUGGUGUUGGGCGUCUUGUCUCUAGCUUUGCUGGAGACUCGCCUUAAAGUAAUUGGCAGCCGGCCUACUGGUUUCGGAGCGCAGCACAAGUCGCACUCUCUAUCAGCCAAGGUCUAGCAUCCAUUAAGCCUUUUUUCAACUUUUGACCUCGGAUCAGGUAGGGAUACCCGCUGAACUUAAGCAU